UACGAAGGGGGGCUAGCGUUGCUCGGAAUCACUGGGCGUAAAGCGCACGUAGGCGGAUUGUUAGGUCAGGGGUGAAAUCCUGGAGCUCAACUCCAGAACUGCCUUUGAUACUGGCGAUCUUGAGUCCGGGAGAGGUGAGUGGAACUGCGAGUGUAGAGGUGAAAUUCGUAGAUAUUCGCAAGAACACCAGUGGCGAAGGCGGCUCACUGGCCCGGUACUGACGCUGAGGUGCGAAAGCGUGGGGAGCAAACAGG
rnacentral:rRNA from 1 species